UUUGGUUUUCUUUGAAAUCAGCUCUGUCAUGCAGACUUUUUCAUUUGUAUUCUGUCCAUACCCUGGUGUUUUGAUUUCCUUUUUCUUAAAUGUAUUCCUGAGCGAAUCAACUGUGUUCAAAGAUCUGUUUCCCAAGCUGAAGCCAUGAAAUAUGGGCCUCCUAUUGCCAAUUGAUUUUGGGUUGAAUGCUGUAAUUUGAAAACUUAAUAAUAACUUGUGAAGCCAUAUAUAACCCUAGUUGCAAGAUUCCCCAGCUUACACCUUACCCAGUUUCGUGUCUGAAUUUUUCAUUACACAUUAUGAUUAGACAUACGUAUCGAUUCCCGUAUUUCUAUAUAUCUAUCUGAAUUCUUCCCCAUGUUUUGAAAUAAAUCUACUGAGUUAUAAACUUUUGUAUUAUGUAUUUCUUCUGAUUAUUGUACAUAGUUUUAAGACUCUUUCAUAAUCCUUCAGAUAAUUAUUUUUCAAUGCGCUUCUUUGUAUUAUAUUAUUUUCAAAAGUGCACAUUUGAUUAGGUCGGACCUCUUGCGCCACGCCCCUGUUAAGGCAGUGUAGAAUGCAUUUAAUUCGGUUGGAAUUGGGAUCUUGAUCAUUUGUUGAUUUAAAAACCUGUUAUGGAAAAAAAUUGGUGCAUAGGCUGUCUUUGUAUCAUCAUUUUCACUUCUUCCUUUUUUCAUCUACGCUUGUUUGGAAAUGAUGUUAAAUGUUAAAUGUUCUUAGAUGACUAUCAUAGUGUUUAUAGGGAAGAUACUUUAAUUGCUUCCAUAUGGUUCAAAUUGAAUUACAAUUCUGUUUUUAAAUUUUUUAUUUCAAUCAGGAUUGAAGAAGAAGCAAAUGAGUUAAAAAGCAAGUUUUCCAGUCCAAGGCGUUCAAUGCUGGAGGAAAUGCUUUUCCAGAUGACAGUGGCCACCUUGAUGACGUAGAUGUUAUUCCAGAUGACAGGCGUUCAAUGCUGUUUAAUUUUUUAUUAACUAAUUUAAUGUUUUGUUUGUUCAAUGCUUUUCAAGAUUUUGUUUUUAUUUUAUUUUUCAUUAUAUAUGUCAUGGAAGAGAAAUAUUGGAAUAUCUAUUAAAUUGGUUUGUUUAUUUUCCUUGGUUUUAUUGUUUGGUUACAGUGUAAAAUCGUUUUAUUUUGUUAUACUUAC
rnacentral:lncRNA from 1 species